ACACAGUAAAAAAAUGGUUGAUAUGGUUAAGUGUGGAUCUGUUGUGCUGUAGCGUGUUCAUCAUCCUUGCAAUUUGGUUUCUUUUAGUUUUAUUUGCUGCUUCAUUCAUUAUUCAGAUCAUUUCUUUUCCUUAUUUAACUCUGUUUAUUCAGCUUUUCGUUUUUUGCUGUUUGAAUCUACUUGCUUUAUGGAUUGAGAUAUAUAAAUUAACUCUUUUUUUUAUGUUGCUUGUUGUAGAGUUUUCUUCUGCUGCAGCAGAUUCCAUUCAUUCAGAUGAAGAUCAGUUUGAUGUAAUCCCACCAGAAAUCGGUUUCGUAAGCUCACUUGGAAAGAAGAGUAUUAGAGAAGAACCAUCUAAGAGAAAGAAUCCUGGAGCAGUCAAAAUUAGUCCUUGGACAUUGGCGUGAUCAAAUGCAGAAGAGGUUUCCAAGGUUGCUGCUGAAGCAAGAAAAAGGUCCAAAAUUCUUUAUCCUGUUUUAUUUAUGCACACAAAAGGAAUUAUUUUGUCCGAUGUCUUAUCAUUCUCUCUGCUCUCAUUUAUGCUCUAAAUUUGUUUGUUUGAUGUAUGUGAACACGCAGCUUAAGAUAGAAGAGAUUGUGACUGAAAUGGGUGGUCUUCUACAUGCUAAAGCAUCACUGGAUUUGAACUUUG